CAAGGCCGUCUGGUACCGUUAGCUGCCCGAUUUGCAUGGAUGGCUACUCAGAGAUUGUGCAAAGUGGACGACUGAUUGUGUCAACCAAAUGCGGCCACGUCUUCUGCAGCCAGUGCCUCCGUGAUUCCCUUAGGAAUGCCAACUCUUGCCCAACCUGCAGGAAGAAACUCACUCACAGACAAUAUCAUCCCAUUUAUAUAUGAGUACUUCUAUUUCUCAGGACAGACUCAACUGGAUUUUGGGGGAAAAUGUCAUGUUUUCAGUGCUCUGAAGACUUAAAGAGCAGCAGGUUGUGCACGCAUCCAAAUAAAACUGGCUUUUUUGGA